AAAGUUCUGAGACUGAAUGCUGGAGAAAAGUUCUCUCAGAAAUAUACAUUGAGUCUUUGAUAACGUUGGUGAUACGUGCUGCUUCAUCUGCUAUCUCUGCAAGUGUGGCCUCACUUUCACUGUUAUUCCAACAUGUGUCAAGCGAAACAACAACAGAAAUAUGGAAAAGGAUAUAAUUAACCUACUUGUGAACAUUAACCUUAAAUAUCGUGCUAAUUAUCUCACUAAUUUAAUCACUGCAGAUCUCAAACUUGAUUGUUAAAUAUUUGAUUCUGCAAAUUGUUUUUGAUACAGAGGUGUGGAUAGCUUUCUGUGAAUAUAAGUUACUAUAUAAAACUCCUUGCAAAACCAUCGUAUAUUCACACUCCAGCCAACAAACCCCACUGUCAACAAGACUUUUAAUGGCAAUCACAGAAAACGUGCCCUGGGGCUAUGAGAUAUAGUGCCCUAUUAUUUGUAAAUCUAAUGAGCACAUUGUGCACUGAGUAGGCCAGGGUAAAUUUCUGUCUGCACAUCUUCAGGUUUGAUUCCACAGGACUCUGGACUGGAAAGCUUUUUUUUUUUUUUUUUUUUUUUUUUUUUUUUUUGUUUCUUUGGUUGUGGUUUAGCUGUAUAGUUGUGCAUUGAGUGUUAUCUAUUCACCUCCUGAUUACUUGAGCCACUCAGCAGAUGAUGUCCUUGAUCUUCAGCUCUUCUUAUCAAGUGAAUAUUUUGAGCUAAAAGUAACCUAAAAUGUGUUCAGAUGUUCCAACUACCAUGCCACCCAAAGUGGCUCUAAUUCCCGAGAAGAAGCUCUUGAAUCGGGGAGUGUUUGUGGAGGAGAUGAAAGCUCAGUGUUUGCUCCUGCUGCCCAGAAGGGAAGUGGGCUGCACUCGUGUUGCCUCAUGCCAGCACCCCACAGGGCCAGACGCUACUGGGCUGAGCAUAGCAAAGCAGGCCCAGCGGGACACCUCCAGCCUCUGUGGCUGGGGGAGCAAUUGCCAGGCCAUGGGAGCUGGGCAAACUCCUGGACGGGAGGAGAGACAAGCCAGGGCUCUUUGA
rnacentral:lncRNA from 1 species